UACAGAGGGUGCGAGCGUUGUCCGGAAUCACUGGGCGUAAAGGGCGCGUAGGUGGCCCGAUAAGUCGGGGGUGAAACGCUGCGGCUCAACCGCAGCACUGCCUCCGAGACUGUCAGGCUUGAGCACGGUAGAGGCUGGUGGAAUUCCCGGUGUAGCGGUGGAAUGCGUAGAGAUCGGGAAGAACAUCGGUGGCGAAGGCGGCCAGCUGGGCCGUUGCUGACACUGAGGCGCGACAGCGUGGGGAGCAAACAGG
rnacentral:rRNA from 1 species